rnacentral:tRNA from 1 species
UGGGGCGUGGCCAAGCGGUAAGGCACGGGGUUUUGGUCCCCGCAUUCGGAGGUUCGAAUCCUCCCGCCCCAGCCA